AGAUAUAUAUAAAAAAUUAUAACCGAAACAAUAAAAUGAACAAAGAGGAAAAAGCAAUGGCAAACUCAGCAGCUACAAGGGGUAGCUAACCAAGAGAAGGGCACAAAUCUGUUUUGCUAUUUGAAGAAUAAAUCUUGUACUAUAAAAGAAAAAAUUGCAGAUAUGAGAGGAUGACAAUUAAAAAACCUUCACAACAGCCAUGAAAUUGGAGCGAGAACUAGACAGAUUAAGAACGACAUCAGCCAUUAUAUUCAGUCGUCAAAAUUUAAAAGUCUAAAUAGAACUGAAACAAAUAGGGGAAAAAAAUAAAUUGGCGAAAAAAUGACGAUAAAGCUACCUGAAAUAUGAGGAAGCUUACCUGAAAUAUGAGGAAGACGAAGAACCGAAGAAGAUCGAAGAAGAAGCUGCGCAGCGCAGGCAAGGUUACCGGGUUAGGGUUAGGCUUCGGUAUAUUGUAAUUGUAUAGCAGUAUAUAUAUAUGCGAAGGGUUAGGUUAGGCAAGCAGCGAAGAGCUAAGGAUAGGGUAGUCAUAUUAUUAUAAAAUAAGGGUAUAUUUGUCUUUGUAAUAUAUCUUAUCGAUUUAUCGAUAAACCGAUANN
rnacentral:lncRNA from 1 species